rnacentral:rRNA from 1 species
UACGUAGGGGGCAAGCGUUAUCCGGAUUUACUGGGUGUAAAGGGAGCGCAGGCGGUAUGGCAAGUCAGAUGUGAAAUCCACAGGCUCAACCUGUGAACUGCAUUUGAAACUGUUUCCCUUGAGUAUCGGAGAGGUCAUCGGAAUUCCUAGUGUAGCGGUGAAAUGCGUAGAUAUUAGGAAGAACACCAGUGGCGAAGGCGGAUGACUGGACGACAACUGACGGUGAGGCGCGAAAGCGUGGGGAGCAAACAGG